UUUAAAAAAAAAAUUGAGGGUUUGAGAUGUGGCUCAGUCAGUAGUGGAAUGCUUGUUUGGCAAGUUCAAAGGUCUUGGGGUUUAUCCCCAGCACGAGUAAAUAAUGCUUUGGCCUCCACCACCCAGCUCAGGCUGACCACACGGAAAGCUGCAGAGAAAUGGACCAGGAGGCCUGAACUCAGCGUCCACCUAAGUGUGCUGGCCUUCCUGCACACUGGGCCCCAGACUCAGCUGUGGACUUCCUGAGUAGGGCCAACCCUUCAGCGACGUGGGAUUGCCUAAAGCUCUAAAAUUCCGUCUCUGUUUCUGAUGCCCUGGCUCAGUCCCCCCACCUGGAAGAAGACGGAGGGAAGGAGUGAUGGAAAAGGUUGACCACAUUCCUGGCGCCUUCAGGGGCGAAUGGCACUCGGGCUGGCUCUCUGCCAGCUGCCCACUCUUUCCACUCGGGGCACAAGAUCAAGUCGCCUCCUUGGCAACCACUGAGACUGUGAGGUCCUGCUCACAGGCUCUGAGCAUCAUUAGAAGGGCCCAGGGAACUCCAAGGUGCUGAGACUGGAUGUGGGCACGACAUACUGGACUUGAAGCGGACACAAAGAAGAAUAAAGCUCAAAGUUGGGUCGGACUCAGUGGAAAGGCUUAUAUACCUCACUCCGAAAGGGGAGGGGAGGAAUGCAACAGACUUCAUUAACAUGAUGCAAGAAAUAGACUUGAAUUCUCUGACCUUUGGCCCAGGUGAAGUGGAUUCACCUCUAUAUCCAAAAUACUAAUUAACCACACCCUAGGUCAGAAGCUGUCAUCUGUAGCCACACCUGUUGUCAACAACUGAGAGAACAAAAAUAAUUUCAAACUCUGUGACAUCCAUUCAAGGUGGAACAGGCUCACAUCUGUGGGUCCCCACAAUUGUUGCAAUAAAACACCAACCAAAAGCAUCUUCAGGGAGGGGGUUGUAUCCUAGCUCUCAGUUUCAGGGAAGAGUGCGUGCCUGCUGACGAGGGUGGAGGAGCUGGAGGGGUCUGGUUACAGUGUCUGCCGUGAGGAAACAGAACCGGAACGCUUUGCUAAGCCUACACUUCCUUCUGUGCGGCCCAGGACCCCAGCCGUGAAAUGGUACCGCACUCAUUUUAGGAAGGUAUUGUCACCUCAACUGAAUCCAGGUAAUCCUCCACCGCCACGCCCGGAGGCAGCCCCCUCUUGAGACUCUAAAUCCCAUCAAGCCGCCAUCAUAGUCUCCCAGUGAGAAAGGUCUUUGAUGACUGAGCUUGUAAUUUAUUUGCUUGAUACCUAGUCUUCUGAGUUCUUUACACACUUUGGAUAUCAGUCCUAAGUACUUAGUAUUUUAAGUUCUUCAUAGAUCCCAGAUAAUAACCUCCUUUUCAUAUUUACAUCUAGCGAAGACUUUUCCCAUUCUGUAGGCUGUCCCUUUGCUCUGCUGUUGUUUGCUUUGUAGGACAGAACCUUUUAAAUUUCAUAGGAUCCCAUUGGUCAGUUCUUGCUAUUAUUUUCCGACCUCUGGAGCUCUUUUCAGGAGCCCUUUUCCUGCCUACAGGAUGCUUCCUCUGUAUUUUGCUCCAGCAGUUUCAAGGUUUUGGGUCUUACACUGAGGUCUUUGUGAAGAGAGAGGGAGAGAGGAAGAGGGAGAGAAGGAAGAAGGAGAGAGAGAGAGAGAGAUCUGGUUUCAUUUUGCUCCUUGUAACUACCCAGUUUCUCCAGAACCCUGCAGAAGAGGCUGUUUUCUCCCAGUGGAUUAUUAGUUCUUUUGUCAAAAACCCGGUGGCCGUAGCCAUGUGGUUUCAUUUCUAGGUAUUUUAUUCUAUUCCACUGGUCUAUGGGCAUAUGU